AACGAACGCUGGCGGCAUGCCUAACACAUGCAAGUCGAACGAUCCCUUCGGGGAUAGUGGCGCACGGGUGCAUAACGCGUGGGAACCUGCCCUUAGGUUCGGAAUAACUCAGAGAAAUUUGAGCUAAUACCGGAUAAUGUCUUCGGACCAAAGAUUUAUCGCCUUUGGAUGGGCCCGCGUUGGAUUAGCUAGUUGGUGGGGUAAAGGCCUACCAAGGCGACGAUCCAUAGCUGGUCUGAGAGGAUGAUCAGCCACACUGGGACUGAGACACGGCCCAGACUCCUACGGGAGGCAGCAGUGGGGAAUAUUGGACAAUGGGCGAAAGCCUGAUCCAGCAAUGCCGCGUGAGUGAUGAAGGCCUUAGGGUUGUAAAGCUCUUUUACCCGGGAUGAUAAUGACAGUACCGGGAGAAUAAGCCCCGGCUAACUCCGU
rnacentral:rRNA from 1 species